ensembl:snRNA U4 U4 spliceosomal RNA
AGCUUUGCGUAGUGGCAGUAUCAUAGCCAAUGAGGUUUACCCGAGGCAUGACUAUUGCUAAUUAAAAUAUUUAACAGCACAAAACUAACUUUGAAGUGCAUUUUCCUAGAACACAAUUUUGC